AAACCAGACCACAUAUAGCCAUGUGGACCAUGGUAAGAAAUUUAGGUUUUAUUACAAGAGCAAAGAAUCGAAAUCACUGAAUGUCUUUAGCCAGAGAGUCACAUAAUCUGAUUUAUAUCUGAAGAAUACUCUGGCUGGUAUAUGAUGACUAAUUUGUAGGGGAUGUGGGUUUGAUGCAAUAAAGACCAAUAUGGACAGGCUUUUGCAUUAGUUAAGGAAAGAGAUAAUGGUGGUAAAGAGGACAAUAUCAGGGAUGGAGAAAAGUGAAUUAAUCCAAAGAAUUAGUUGCAUUCUUUUAAAAUUCUUUUAAAACCAAUAGGGCUUGUUGAUGUAUUGAAUGGGAAAGAGUAGUGAGGGAACAUGUAUCAAGAGUGACUCUUAGUUAAACAUCAAGGAGGAUGGUAUUCUACUUAUUGAGAACAGGAAGGAUGGAGGGAUAUCUUGCAUGGAGAAACCAAAAAAUCCAUUUUAGGUAUAUUGUGUUUGAGCUAUCUAUUAGAUACCCAAAUGGAGAUGAUGAAUAAGUUACUGGCUAGUCACACUUGGAGCUCAAGAGUGUUCUGAGCUAGAGUGAAAAAUGUGGCAUUUGUAACAUGGAGAUGGUAUUUGAAAUCAUGACUUGGAAAGAUUCACUUCUAAGUAUGGCUGAAAAUGCUCUAUCAGAUGGACCAUUCCAUAGAUAACAACUAUAAACUUUGGACAAAAUACCAAAAACAACUCUAUGAAGGCUCUGAAAGGUAAAUAAAAGUAAAAAGAUUCUGGAGAGGGAUUGAUAGUUGGAGAAAAAGAUUAUCACAGGGUGAGUUUCCCAUUUUUAUGGUUUUUAGCUUAGUUAGGAAUAAAAUCUGUCUUUCUGGCCUGAAAAAUCAGAGGACAGCAAAUCUCUGUGACCAUGAACCACAACUACAUAGGUCCAACUGCAAGCAGUACAGAUAAAGAUGAAAUACCUGAACUGAGAUUUCAGCCACUAACACCCAAGAAAUAGCUUUCUGAGUUUAAGCAAUUGCCUACUAAAACAAAAAAUAAUAUUCUUUGAGGACUGUAACAGAAUCCAAAAUUUCCAUGAUAUAAAAUUCACAAUGUCUGGAAUACAAUCUAAGAUUACUCAACAUAUAAACAAAACAAAACAAAACUGGGCAAGUGUGACCCAGUAACAAAGAAAGACAACCAAUGGAGACCAACUACAAGAUGACUCAGUUGUCGGAAUUAACAGAUCGUGAUUUUAGAGCAGCUAUUAGAAAGCUGCUCAAUGUGGUAAAAGAAAACAUACUUGUAAGAAAUUAGAAGAUAGGAUAUUUCCCAAGAAAAAUAAAUAUUACUCCCCCCAAAAAAGAACCCAAUGAAAUUUCUAGAACUAAAAAAUAUAAUGUCUGAAAUUCUUUUAAAACAGAAAUCUUUGGAGGAGCUUAACAGCAGAAUAGAGAUAACAGAGGAAUGAUUCAAUGAGCUUGAAUAUAGAUCAAUAGAUACUAUGCUAUCUGAUGAACAGAGAAUAAAGAUUGAAAAAAAAGUGUUCAGAGCCUCAGUGACCUAUAGGACAAUAUCAAAAAGUGUAGCAUAUAUAUAAUUAGAAGUGUUAGAUAAGAUCACCUAGGUGGACAGAGAAGGGGAGGAGGUCAAGGACUAUGCCCUGGGGCACUGCAAUAUUCAGAGAGAUCCAUUGAAGAAAGAAUCAACAAAGGAGAUGGAGAAGAAACCAUUUAAUUUUCUUAUUCAUCAGAAAAUCAACUUUGAUGUUUUGCUUUUAUCUUUGUCUUAUUUCUACAAUUCAGCCACCAGAAAAAGUGGGAUCAGGAAGGUGCAAACUUUCAUCUCCUACAAAAAAUAAAGUUGCAACUUACUGACCCACUGUCAUUACCUCUGUCUUUACUGUUAACUAGUACCUAACCAGCAGUACUGAUGUACGAUGAUUUGUUAAAACACAAAUUCAUUUUCUUAGAAGCUUUUUUGUUUGUUUACGCUUUCAUCCCACAAUGAAACUACGUAUAACGUGCUUCCAGGAAUUCUAUCAUGAAAAGUCCCCUGAAAAAGAAAGAUUCCAAACUUUAAUCCAUAAUCAGAAAAAAAAAAAAACAUCAGAAUAAAAAAUUUAAAACAGUGGCAACAAAACAAACAACAACAACAACAACAAAACACCCAGAAAAUCAGCAAGGUUCAGAAGCUUACUGAGACCAAAGAAAAAGAUCUUUCAAAAAAUUGAAAUCCAUUCCAGUGUGAGGCUUACAGAAGAAUAAACUUUAGCAGGUGAGAUAUAAAGUGCAGAUUAGAGAGGAUUAAAAAUGGUGUUUGAAAACAAACAGCCAAUGAUAACACAACAAAUAAUAUUAAAUUCUUUAAGUACAUCAGAAAUAAGACUGCUGCAGAAGGAUCAGUGAAUCGGCUAGACAAGCAGUGCACAAAGGAGAUAUUCAAAAGGAUAAGGAGAUUGCAGGGAAACUAAAUAAUGUAUUUGCAUCAGUUUUCACACUGGAGAAUAAAGCAAUGGAGAAAAGGGAGGGAAAACCUUAUUAUGUGAAAGAGAGGCCCCGCUCAGAUUGAGACAUCAAAGGGAACCAUGAGUCAAUGAAACAGCAAAGGAGGGCCGCCAUGUUCCAGCCAAAGCAGGAGGCAUUCACCAGAAAAUCCAGAAGCUCAGAAUGCCUGUAAUCUCUGAUUCCCCAUAGCUUUAUCAUUUGCUAUUUAAAAGGCUCCAUACUGUGGUGAGCUGGAAAGCAAGUUACAUUCUACUGUGGUUGAAAAAUUUGCUCAGUUUCUAUGGUAGAAUGAGCUCCAUACUGCAAAACAUGCAGCCGGCAUAACCCAACUGGCUGGAUGACCAAAAGGCAAACAUGAGCAGGAAGCUUUAACACAGCCCAUCUGAGAAUGUAUGGAAAUAGAAAUUCUCAUAUACCGCUCGUAUACACUAGUGCAAACUGGUACUACCAGCUUUAGAGAAUACUUGUAAACCUGGUAAAGUUCAAAAUGUGUAUGACAAAUGAAUCCACCCGUUUCACUGCUAGGUGUCUAUGCUACAGAAGCUCUAGGAGAAACUAUAAAAUUUUCCAUUGCAAUAGGUGAAAAAAUCAGUAACCACAUAAUCGUCCACAAAUAGAGGAAUGGAUAUAUAAAAAAAAUGUUUAUAUAAUGAAAUGCAAAAAGAAGAGUUAAAAAAAAGAUUUUUAAGUAAUCUCUACACCUCAUGUGGGGCUCAAAAUUUACACACCUGAGAUCAAGAGUUGCUUAUUUGCUCUACCAACUAAGCCAGCCAGGCACUCCCAAAAAGAAAUUUGUAACUCCUAAUUAUCGAGAUCCAGCUGUAUCAACUUUCACAGGCUUCAAAAUCAUAACAUUGAGUGAAAAAGAAGCAAUUCAACAGAAAAAUACAGUGUGACAAAAUCUAUGUCAAAAUUUUUAAAUAACACCUAAAAUAACAGAAUAUAUUUUUUACAGAUUCACACGUAGAUAAAUAAAAGAGUAAAAAAUACACAAGAGAGAAGACAAAUUCAUACUAUGGGAUGCCUCCAGAAGGAUUGAGAGGGGCAUGAAGCUAGAGAUGGAUUAAAUAUUUCACUUUUUCUGUGAAGAUCUAUUUCUUUAAUUAAAAAAAAAGAUUUGAGGUAAAUAUGACAAAAUAGUAGCAAUUAUCCAUUCUGUGUGGUGGUAAUAGAGUUUCUGCUAUAGUACUUCGUUUUCCUAUUUGUUUUUAGUUUUUAAAAAAUGUUCUUUCCAUUACCUGGGGACAAAGCUUAACUGUAUUAAAUUGAUUACUAUUGAAUGUAUGGAGAGCUAUUAUUUACCCAAACUCAAAAUUUGUCUUGGAAAUCCAGAGUGGUGGCAGAAAUAGUGUCUUAACCUAGAUCAUGAGAACACGGACAGCAUGUCCUCAGUUCCUAAGGCUGCCUGCUUUCUCUCAUCCAGGAAUCCAUGAAGAAUAACGGCUCUGGGUGCCUGGCUGGCUCCUACAGUAAAGCAUGCAACUCUUGAUCUCAGGGCCCUGGGUUCAGGCCCACGUUACACAUGGAGCCUAUUAAAAAAAAAAAAAAAA
rnacentral:lncRNA from 1 species